rnacentral:rRNA from 1 species
UACGUAGGGUGCAAGCGUUAAUCGGAAUUACUGGGCGUAAAGCGUGCGCAGGCGGCUAUGCAAGACAGAUGUGAAAUCCCCGGGCUCAACCUGGGAACUGCAUUUGUGACUGCAUAGCUAGAGUACGGUAGAGGGGGGAUGGAAUUCCGCGUGUAGCAGUGAAAAUGCGAUAGAUAUGCGGAGGAACACCGGUGGCGAAGGCGGGACUCUGGGCCGAUACUGACGCUGGAGGAGCGAAAAGCGUGGGGGAGCAAACAGG